GCCAGUUUGGCUCAAUGGAUAGAGCAUCUACUGCAGAUUGAAGGGUCUCGGGUUCGAUUCCCGUCAAGGGCA
rnacentral:tRNA from 1 species